rnacentral:rRNA from 1 species
AGUGAACGCUGGCGGUAGGCCUAACACAUGCAAGUCGAACGGCAGCACAGUAAGAGCUCGCUCUUACGGGUGGCGAGUGGCGGACGGGUGAGGAAUACAUCGGAAUCUACUUUUUCGUGGGGGACAACGUAGGGAAACUUACGCUAAUACCGCAUAUGACCUACGGGUGAAAGCAGGGGAUCUUCGGACCUUGCGCGACUGAAUGAGCUGAUGUCGGAUUAGCUAGUUUGCGGGGUAAAGGCCCACCAAGGCGACGAUCCGUAGCUGGUCUGAGAGGAUGAUCAGCCACACUGGAACUGAGACACGGUCCAGACUCCUACGGGAGGCAGCAGUGGGGAAUAUUGGACAAUGGGCGCAAGCCUGAUCCAGCCAUACCGCGUGGGUGAAGAAGGCCUUCGGGUUGUAAAGCCCUUUUGUUGGGAAAGAAAAGAAGCAGGUUAAUACCCCGCUGUUCUGACGGUACCCAAAGAAUAAGCACCGGCUAACUUCGUG